AACGACUCUCGGCAACGGAUAUCUCGGCUCUCGCAUCGAUGAAGAACGUAGCGAAAUGCGAUACUUGGUGUGAAUUGCAGAAUCCCGCGAACCAUCGAGUCUUUGAACGCAAGUUGCGCCCGAAGCCUUCUGGCCGAGGGCACUUCUGCCUGGGUGUCACUC
rnacentral:rRNA from 1 species